rnacentral:rRNA from 1 species
GACGAACGCUGGCGGCGUGCUUAACACAUGCAAGUCGAACGGAAAGGCCCUGCUUGCAGGGUACUCGAGUGGCGAACGGGUGGGUAACACGUGGGUGAUCUGCCCUGCACUUCGGGAUAAGCUUGGUAAACUGGGUCUAAUACCGGAUAGGAGCCAUCUUUAGUGUGGUGGUUGGAAAGUUUUUUCGGUUUAGGAUGAGCCCGCGGCCUAUCAGCUUGUUGGUGGGGUAAUGGCCUACCAAGGCGGCGACGGGUAGCCGGCCUGCGGGGGUGUACGGCCACAUUGGGACUGGAAUACGGCCCAGACUCCGAAGGGAGGCAGCAGUGGGGAAUAUUGCACAAUGGGCGCAAGCCUGAUGCAGCGACGCCGCGUGGGGGAUGAAGGCUUUCGGGUUGUAAACUCCUUUCGCUAGGGACGAAGCUUUUUUGUGACGGUACCUAGAUAAGAAGCACCGGCUAACUACGUG